rnacentral:rRNA from 1 species
CCUACGGGAGGCAGCAGUGGGGAAUAUUGCACAAUGGGCGAAAGCCUGAUGCAGCAACGCCGCGUGAGGGACGACGGCCUUCGGGUUGAAACCUCUUUUGGGAGAGAAACGGUACUCGCAGAAAAAGCGCCGGCUAACUACGUGCCAGCAGCCGCGGUAAUACGUAGGGCGCAAGCGUUAUCCGGAAUUAUUGGGCGUAAAGAGCUCGUAGGCGGUUUGUCGCGUCUGCUGUGAAAACUGGGGGCUCAACCCCCAGCCUGCAGUGGGUACGGGCAGACUAGAGUGCGGUAGGGGAGAUUGGAAUUCCUGGUGUAGCGGUGGAAUGCGCAGAUAUCAGGAGGAACACCGAUGGCGAAGGCAGAUCUCUGGGCCGUACUGACGCUGAGGAGCGAAAGGGUGGGGAGCAAACAGGCUUAGAUACCCUUGUAGUC